CUAGUCACGACAACGACGCUU
rnacentral:snRNA from 1 species